GACGAACGCUGGCGGCGUGCUUAAUACAUGCAAGUCGAACGGAAAGGCCCUGCUUUUGUGGGGUGCUCGAGUGGCGAACGGGUGAGUAACACGUGAGUAACCUGCCCUUGACUUUGGGAUAACUUCAGGAAACUGGGGCUAAUACCGGAUAGGAGCUCCUGUUGCAUGGUGGGGGUUGGAAAGUUUCGGCGGUUGGGGAUGGACUCGCGGCUUAUCAGCUUGUUGGUGGGGUAGUGGCUUACCAAGGCUUUGACGGGUAGCCGGCCUGAGAGGGUGACCGGCCACAUUGGGACUGAGAUACGGCCCAGACUCCUACGGAAGGCAGCAGUGGGGAAUAUUGCACAAUGGGCGGAAGCCUGAUGCAGCAACGCCGCGUGCGGGAUGACGGCCUUCGGGUUGUAAACCGCUUUCGCCUGUGACGAAGCGUGAGUGACGGUAAUGGGUAAAGAAGCACCGGCUAACUACGUG
rnacentral:rRNA from 1 species